ACCAGAGCUCCGCGCGGCGAAAUGGUGAGAUGCUGCCCACCGCGCCCUAACCCCACGGUUCCCCGCCACGACCUCCGGAAGGUCAGAGUUCACAUCCAGCGGCCUCGCAGUAGAGGUGGCGGCAAGGGGACUGGUGGUCAGCCCCCGAGGCUGGAGGAGCCCGGCCUGGGGGGCCUGAGCGCCCUGAGUCGGAGAGCCUGCUUCAGGUUGCACUUCCCCCAGCUGGCCCUGAGGCGGAGGCUGGGGCAGCUGAGCUGCAUGUCCAGACCCGCUCUGAAACUGCGCUCCUGGCCCUUGACCGUCCUCUACUACCUCCUGCCCUUCGGCGCCCUCAGACCGCUCAGCCGGGUGGGAUGGAGGCCCGUAAGCAGGGUGGCUUUGUACAAGUCAGUGCCAACGCGCUUGCUGUCACGGGCCUGGGGUCGCCUCAAUCAGGUGGAGCUGCCACACUGGCUGCGCAGGCCCGUCUACAGCCUCUACAUCUGGACGUUCGGGGUGAACAUGAAAGAGGCCGCUGUGGAGGACCUGCAUCACUACCGCAACCUCAGCGAGUUCUUCCGGCGCAAGCUGAAGCCGCAGGCCCGGCCUGUCUGCGGCCUGCACAGCGUGAUUAGCCCAUCGGAUGGAAGGAUCCUCAACUUUGGGCAGGUGAAGAACUGUGAGGUGGAGCAGGUAAAGGGGGUCACCUACUCCCUGGAGUCGUUCCUGGGCCCGCGUACCUGCACAGAGGACCUGCCCUUCCCACCAGCCACCUCAUGUGACUCCUUCAAGAACCAGCUGGUCACCCGGGAAGGGAAUGAGCUCUAUCACUGUGUCAUCUACCUGGCCCCUGGGGACUACCACUGCUUCCACUCCCCUACUGACUGGACUGUGUCCCACCGGCGCCACUUCCCAGGCUCCCUGAUGUCAGUGAACCCUGGCAUGGCUCGCUGGAUCAAAGAGCUCUUCUGCCAUAACGAGCGGGUGGUCCUGACGGGGGACUGGAAACACGGCUUCUUUUCACUGACAGCUGUGGGGGCCACCAACGUGGGCUCCAUUCGCAUCUACUUUGACCAG
rnacentral:sRNA from 1 species